rnacentral:lncRNA from 1 species
AACACACAUCACUAAGAUUUUGUAUUUUAUAUUCAUAUUAUUUGGCAGAUAACGUAAAACACCAAUAACUUAAGGAUAAUUAAACAUUAUUUAAGAAAUGUGUUUUAAAUUAUUAAAUAAGUUGCACCUUUUGGACAUUAUGAGAAGAUACUGUCCCACUAGGGGAAAAUAAAUAAGAUUUUCUCAAGCUCCGACUCCUUCUGUCCAGGUGUGAAAAUUCAAGGUUUCAAAGUUCGGGACUUUUGGUCCAGGCGCUUGAUGCAAUCCUUGACCCACUUCUCCUUGGGGUCAGCACAGACUUUUUUAUCCAGUUUGGUCUUGAAGCUGUGGGGCAGAGAGGACAUGGUUAGGGAGCACCUUGAAGGUUCUGCUCAAGAACACAGUCCACUGGCCCCAAGACCUGAUCAGCUCUUGUUCUAUAGGUGAAGGAUCUGUGACUGGGAGAGACAACGGGGAAAGGUGAAAGGAAGAGACCUCAGGAGGGAGCCCUGCCCUUGCUAUCCAAGUUGAAGUCCUGCAGGUUCCUUCAUGGCUGACAGAGCUGGGACAAUCUCACCAAGGUCCUAGAAGAGGAGCCUGCAUGAUUAUGGACUCCUUCACCUGGGCUCAGCUUCUCUAUGAGGAAGAGACACUUGGGGGAAUAUGUGUUUCCUCUUUCUGAAGGCCAAGAUUGUAUGAGUUUAGGAGUUUUGGUUUCCAGUGGAAGAAUGCUUCUACCUUGGCUUCCAGAAAGUCUUACGCUUCUCCUGCCAAAAGACAACCUUCUUGAGGUCCCGAGUCGCGGAACAUGCCGAAUCAUCCUGGGGCAGACAGGCAGGUCUGCGCACGCCCUACCGAGGUCCUGAGUCGCGCCGAACACGCUGAAUCAGCCCGCGCCCCGACAACAAUCCACUGGACGCCCCCACUCCUCUGUACAGCCACCUGGUUCCACACUACAAAGACGCAGAGGACACUGGACCACCA